UACGGGGGGGGCAAGCGUUGUUCGGAAUUACUGGGCGUAAAGGGCUCGUAGGUGGCCAACUAAGUCAGACGUGAAAUCCCCAGGCUUAACCUGGGAACUGCGUCUGAUACUGGAUGGCUUGAAUUCGGGAGAGGGAUGCAGAAUUCCAGGUGUAGCGGUGAAAUGCGUAGAUAUCGGGAGGAACACCAGUGGCGAAGGCGACUACCUGGCCUGUUCUUGACGCUGAGGCGCGAAAGCUAGGGGAGCAAACGGG
rnacentral:rRNA from 1 species